AUUUCGUGAUGAGGGUAUCUUCGUAAUAGUUCUUUAAACCUUUCCCAUGCCUCAUACAAUGACUUGUCAUAUAUUUUUUGAAAGGUAGUGAUCUCAUUCCAGAACUU
rfam:Gossypium raimondii Chr12_contig_565, whole genome shotgun sequence.